CAGGGCGUAGCUAAGAUAGUAAAGCGCCUCCCUUACACUGAGAAGUCGCCCGCGCAAACCGGGCCGCCCUGAU
rnacentral:tRNA from 1 species